rnacentral:rRNA from 1 species
UACGUAGGGUGCAAGCGUUGUCCGGAAUUAUUGGGCGUAAAGAGCUCGUAGGCGGUCUGUCGCGUCGGCUGUGAAAACUUGGGGCUCAACCCCAAGCCUGCAGUCGAUACGGGCAGACUAGAGUACGGGAGAGGAAAGUGGAAUUCCUGGUGUAGCGGUGAAAUGCGUAGAUAUCAGGAGGAACACCGGUGGUGUAGACGGCUUUCUGGACCGUAACUGACGCUGAGACACGAAAGCGUGGGUAGCAAACAGG